CGUAAUCAUUUGUCUUUUAAAUGAAGACCAGUAUGAAUGGCAUAACGAGGGCCAAGCUGUCUCCUUUUUCCAGUCAAUGAAAUUGAUCCCCCUGUGCAGAAGCAGGGACACAAACAUAAGACGAGAAGACCCUAUGGAGCUUAAGACACAAGACAGUUCAUGUUAAAAAACCAUAUUAAUGGAAAGAACCAAAUGACCCCUGUCCUUUUGUCUUUGGUUGGGGCGACCAUGGAGUAACAAAAAACCCCCAUGUGGAACAGGGCCCAGGCCCUUAAAGCUAGAGCCACAGCUCUAACAAACAGAACAUCUGACCUUCAAGAUCCGGCAAGACCGAUCAACGGACCGAGUUACCCUAGGGAUAACAGCGCAAUCCCCUUUUAGAGCCCAUAUCGACAAGGGGGUUUACGACCUCGAUGUUGGAUCAGGACACCCUAAUGGUGCAGCCGCUAUUAAGGGUUCGUUUGUUCAACGAUUAAAGUCCUACGUGAUCU
rnacentral:rRNA from 1 species